ACGGGUGAGUAACGCGUGGGAAUCUACCGUACCCUACGGAAUAGCUCUGGGAAACUGGAAGUAAUACCGUAUACGCCCUUUGGGGGAAAGAUUUAUCGGGGUAUGAUGAGCCCGCGUUGGAUUAGCUAGUUGGUGGGGUAAAGGCCUACCAAGGCGACGAUCCAUAGCUGGUCUGAGAGGAUGAUCAGCCACAUUGGGACUGAGACACGGCCCAAACUCCUACGGGAGGCAGCAGUGGGGAAUAUUGGACAAUGGGCGCAAGCCUGAUCCAGCCAUGCCGCGUGAGUGAUGAAGGUCUUAGGAUUGUAAAGCUCUUUCACCGGAGAAGAUAAUGACGGUAUCCGGAGAAGAAGCCCCGGCUAACUUCGUGCCAGCAGCCGCGGUAAUACGAAGGGGGCUAGCGUUGUUCGGAAUUACUGGGCGUAAAGCGCACGUAGGCGGGUAUUUAAGUCAGGGGUGAAAUCCCAGAGCUCAACUCUGGAACUGCCUUUGAUACUGGGUAUCUUGAGUAUGGAAGAGGUAAGUGGAAUUGCGAGU
rnacentral:rRNA from 1 species